UCUCAUUCUAGCAUGCUUCCUUCUCUCCUCACUUAUGCUGGUGUCUAUUUCUUUUUGCCAUUUUUGUUCUGUUGUUCUCUCCGCUUCAGCUAUGGUUACACUCUCCAAAGUACCCAUGCAUCCUGGUCAGUGAGAUAAAAUCAAAAAGCUUGAAAAUGGAGAUAGAGAAUAUUUCUGAGUUCUGCUAAAUUUUCCUCUAUCUUAGUGAGAACGUAAAUGUUAUCCUAUUGUUUAUAGACUACUCAUUUGCAUAUAGAUUUUUUUUUUCAAGUGCUUUAUUUUACUUUUUAAUUGAAUGUAUAAGUGGAUUUUUUAUUUACAAGUAUAUGGGUUUUCCUCCUUUAAAUUUUUUA